rnacentral:lncRNA from 1 species
UGUAGGCAGUAGUCGGGAAUGACACCACUCUCUCCAUUUAUUUUCAUAUUUCGCCACUGCACCGCGCCACAUAGGCGGCGCCAGGCUAUCUGCCACGCGCUCGCGUGUUCCCUUUCAUAAAAAUGACGGCUGUACAUGAAAUUCAGCUUGGGAACAAAAAAAUGAUAUCAAGG